CCUACGGGGUGCAGCAGUGGGGAAUAUUGUACAAUGGGGGAAACCCUGAUGCAGCGACGCCGCGUGAGUGAAGAAGUAAUUCGUUAUGUAAAGCUCUAUCAGCAGGGAAGAAAAUGACGGUACCUGAGUAAGAAGCCCCGGCUAACUACGUGCCAGCAGCCGCGGUAAUACGUAGGGGGCAAGCGUGAUCCGGAUUUAUUGGGUGUAAAGGGCGUGUAGGCGGGAGCGCAAGUCAGAUGUGAAAACUCAGGGCUCAACCCUGAGCCUGCAUUUGAAACUGUGUUUCUUGAGUGCUGGAGAGGCAAUCGGAAGUCCGUGUGUAGCGGUGAUAUGCGUAGAUAUACGGAGGAACACCAGUGGCGAAGGCGGAUUGCUGGACAGUAACUGACGCUGAGGCGCGAAAGCGUGGGGAGCAAACAGGAUUAGAUACCAUAGUAGUC
rnacentral:rRNA from 1 species